rnacentral:lncRNA from 1 species
UAGAAGACAACUUUGAGAAACACACAAGCAUGCUCAAGUAAAUAGAGAUGGUUACUCGUUGCAGUUCACACAAAUGAUUGGUACUCUCUCACGGGUACUUACCUCUCUACUGAAGUGCUCUCGCUUGCGCAUGUAGAAGAAACUUUAAAGGUUUUCUUUAUGAGAUGCAUCGAUCCUUCUGCAUCCCAUAUCCUUCUGCUCUUACUAAAGUCACUAUUAUUCUCUUUAACUACUAAAUCAAAUCUAUGUAAUUACACCAAUAUACAAUAAUAUAUGAUUACUCUAAUAUACAAUAUUUACAUCAUGCUAACAAUCAUGACCCGAGUUUUUGGGUCGUGACAUGAUCCCACCCCCAUGUCGUGUCGACAUGGUUUUGGCACCGAAAGUGAAGAAUCCGAGCAACUCAGACUACUACAUGCCAAAUUGAAGUGCGAGACACUUCAUCACUGACAGUAGACUUGGACGCAAACUUUUAGAGGUAUACGUGGGACUUACUGUAAUGCACAAUUGGAUCCUGAUUCUCAAAGUGCAUUGCUAUCUAACAAGGUUAUAGUGUUCGUAAUCUAGAAGACAACUUUGAGAAACACACAAGCAUGCUCAAGUAAAUAGAGAUGGUUACUCGUUGCAGUUCACACAAAUGAUUGGUACUCUCUCACGGGUACUUACCUCUCUACUGAAGUGCUCUCGCUUGCGCAUGUAGAAGAAACUUUAAAGGUCUUCUUUAUGAGAUGCAUCGAUCCUUCUGCAUCCCAUAUCUCUUCAUAUUCAUAUGUCUCAUCUUCACUUUUCAGUUUUUCCCCACCUCCAGAAAAGCUAGAACUAAUUAGACUUCUCAUAUUCUUCAGAAAUCCACCAAGAUAGUGCUGAAAGAGAACACCAUUUGUAGGCCAAAAAACGGCAAUAAGAAGGGUCAAUACAAACAGAAAUAGAUACCUGCCACAUUCAGAAAACAAACUUUAAUAAUACAAGAAACACGGCUUAUAAGAUAGAUUUUUUUUGCAUCUCAAUAUACAGAAUUACCAUAUAUAAAUGUACGUCUGCACAGGGAGAAAGCACACUUUGGUGGAAAUUGCCUCCUCGGGUAUUGAUCCGUCUGGCAAGAUACGAUUACUCGCAGAUAAUAGCAUGUAAGAUGGAAACAAAUUUCCCUGCUGCCAGCUUAUUGUCCCUAGAGUAUGCUGCACAAUGGUAUCAAUCAAACACCAUCCAGUCAAUACAAACUUUUUCAAUUGAACAAGGCGGGCUACCUCUUUUACGGAACCAUAUUUUGACUUGUGGAUCACUGUACACUGAUCAUGGUCAUGCCCAGAGAGAAUUAGUGCCUGCAGAAACUCAAAAAAAUGCAACCUAGAAAUCAUUCAUUUCAACUAGUACUGCGUAGAGAUACCCUUUACAUUUACUAGUUCGUUUUGGACAUGCAUAAUAGAAUGGAAGGAAACACUUACAGGUUUGAUCGCGUCAAGCAGAUCAUUUGUUCCGUUUUCAGUAAUAAAGUUUUGAUAUCUGUGAAUCGAAUUGUGAUUAAGUCUAACAUAUAAAUAAACAUACAUGCGUAGAGACAUGGCAAGUACAUACAAAGGCACAGUAAAGUGAGAAUAAGAGCUUACAAUAUUUCAUUAUCUUGAGCAGCUCGGUUGAUUCUCUGAAAUAUGUAAUUUUUCACUAUAAAUAUGAGAGAUAUGUUUAUGAAAAAAAUAUGUUGAGUAUGUUGAUUAACCAUAUUACAAGAAAAGAUACACUUUUCUCCUCAUAAUAGAUGACAAACAAAACAGAAGAAGAAUUUUUAAAGAUUGUUUAAGUUCUCCAGACUCUCAAUCCCUAAUUUUUAGGUUCUCGAAACACAAGCUAAUUUUUUAUUUUUUUUGACAAGCUCAAAAAAAAAAGGUUAAAUGUUACCUGAUUAAUAAUUGAUGAUGCACGAUAUGGACCGCAUGCAGUUGAAUCCGGCCGAUACAAUGGAAUAUGAGUCAAUAGAACCCUUGAAUUUGAAGAUGAAUCUGCACAAGACACAGAAAAAGGAACCGAGCUUUUACACAUAAGCCAAAUUCACAACAUAAAAUGGAUAGUGAUUAGCUGAACGUACGCUUAGAGACAUUUUUGACAAAAUUCCAUGUGGCAAGGGUUACAUUGUUUAGGGGAUGCCCUGUAGACAAGAGAUUUUGCUGUGAGUCUUCACAAAAUCACAACACCAUGAGUCGAACCAUAAUCAGUAGUGUCUAUUUCAUUGUAACUGAUAGGAAGAAAAGCAAAAUCAUGAUUGGUUGAAGAUAUCCGAAACUGAGAUUACCAAGAAAAAGAUAUUGAAUUUUCACAAACUCUUCUUUCUUUUUUUGCACAAAUAAGUUGAGUAAUUUUUGAGUUUUUGCAAACUUUCAAAUGGUGAGCUUUUCUUGUUAUUCAAGAAGCGCACACAAGAAAAUAAUGUGUAGAUCCAUAUAUUCUUGAAUAGUUACUUAAAAAUGGAUGUUGAUACUUUGACACACAAGAAAAGUUAAUUUUAUCUCUAAACGGUAACUGUUGAAGUCCCCAAACUUUUAUAUAUUAAUGGAAAUAACAAAAAGAUUUCCAAACAAAGAGUAGAUUGUGAUAUUACCAUCUAAGGUUUGUGCAUCGAUCGCAAUGAAAUCUACUUUCCCAGCUGUAAAUUGAUAGUUCCUCGCACCAAAUGCUUUCUCAUAGCGUUUGAUAACCUGCAUCAUGGAGUACACGUAUAAGACCGGAAAUAGAAUUAGCAGAAAACCGGAAUUAGAAUGCUAAAUGGUUUGACGUAAUUUAAGUAUGAGAACCUAAAGAAGUCAUUGACUUCAGCAAAAUGUAUAAUAGGAUCCAAGACAUAAUGUCAGAGCCUGGGAAUCGGUCCGAUAUUUUACAGUGGAAGCAACCACUAAGGCUUACAUUAGUGUAGGUUGUCUACAUCACACCCUUGGGGUGCUGCCCUACCCCCACCCUGCUAACGCAGAAUGCUUUGUGUACUGGACAGCCCUUUUUAUUUUUAAAGAGACAUUUGAUGCUCAUCGAAACAGAGCACUGCUACCACAGAUUGAAGUUUGUAUGGCUUUCUUUAAGCAUCUACAAACACAUCAACUUUACCAUCAACUACAAAACUAGAUGACCUAAUCGGAACGCUCUUCAUGUUAUGAAUGAUAAAUUAGUCAACUUAAUGAAUGCUCAAAGGAUCGUGACUCCAAAAUUAACUUCAAUCAUCCAACUCAAUGAACUAAAGUUAAAUUAUCCUAGUUAUUAAACUUUUUCUGCAAUUAGAUGCUGUUGUUUCUGGAUCCUCUUAAUGUGAAAACCUGGUGCGCAUCAGAACUCUUGGUUGUAGGGAAUUUGGGUGCAUCAAAUUUCCCUUACAAUUAUGAUCAACAAGGUGAUUAGCUACAGUUAAUCUUGGACACUAUUCCAGAAAAUUUCUAGUAUCUGGGAUACUUGAAAGACAAGCUCAAGACUAAAUUUUAAACAAAUGUUUACUAAUGCGAUAACAUAGCUUGCACAGGCCAUAGCUCACCAAAAAAUAUUUCUUCAGCACUCAUUGUGCAACUUCCAUACACGCAAUGUUUUAGGAGGCUUGAUCUCUAUCAUUCCAGAAGCUUAUGAAUAAUUGAUAGUCCCUCCAGUUCAACUUGUUUAUCCUACUUUCCUUUUCAAUCCAUUUCAAAGUACCUCUUUCCUUUUUUCCAACUUUUUAAUUUCAACUUUUCACAUGACAUGUUUAACACCACAAGAUUAAAGGAUAUUUUGGUACAUUCUACAUAUCUUUGAUUUAAAAACACAAUAUACAAAAGUGUUCUUUACUUUCUUAAACUCCGUGCCAAAAAGGGCAAUCAAAUUGAGGCGGAUGGAGUAUAUGAUAACAAGAUGAGAUAUGAACAAAUCUAAAAGCAUAUUAAAUAUGUUCCGAGUAAUACAACUCCAUCUGAAUAAUUAACACACCUCUGGUAUAUGCGAGUGAAAAGCUGCAUACCCUAUAUCAUGGUUUCCAGCAAGGUAGUACAGCUUUAUGUUUGUUGUUUGCUCAAGCAUGUCAAUGUCAAAUAUAUGUUUAAACCGGCUCCAGGAUUCCUGCCAUCUAUCAAGCUAAAUAAAUCGAGGUCCAAAGCAGAAGAAUAACGGGAGACAAUCAGAUACUUCAUCUAUGAAAAUGACCAAAAUAUGAACUUUAUAUAAGGAAUCAACAGAUAGGAAUGUGCAUUAAAUUUGUCCAAGAAGUAGUUUUCGAUGAGAGAAACAGGCCUUAAGGGAACUUUAAGAGCCAAAAUGGAGUCGUGAAGCUUUAAUUACUGAAUCCUUCCCAAUGGUCUUUCCAGAUCCGUUUCGAUCUGAUUCUAAAUUUUGUUUCAGGAAAGAUCUGUUGAAAUUUGCAUUUAUUUACUGCAGUAAGUUAUCUAUGUUUAGGGUGUGGUGCGGGUUUUUUCUAAAUCCGCAAAUUUAAAAGCCGCCCCGCAUCACCUUUAAAGCCGCAUAAAUUCGCCCCACACUCAUACCCGCGCAUACCUGUACCGCACCGCCCCACGUUUUUGUUUUUGUUUUUUUGUUUUUUGAAAAAUUUAUAACUCCGUUGAAAACCAUAAUAUUUCCAAAUCUGCAAUUAGAAAGUAGUAACAACCUAUUUCUAUUAUAUCAUUUUUACCAAGAAUUGACAAGAAGUAUCAUGUAUACAAGCAAUGAUCAAAUAUAGAUUUUCAUUUAUAAGAUAAAUCAAGAAAUUAAAAUUAGUGAUCAAUCAGUUUAUCUGAUUAUUUAAGUCCUUGCUAUAAGGAAAAACAACUUGUGUUUGAUAUUUUGUGUUAUAAAAUUGUUAUACUGAUUUCAAAAGAAAAGUUAUGAAACUAUUUAUUUGGAGCAUUAUACAUGUCGUAUUAAGUAUGACAAAAUUUUAAGUAAAGAAUACAUAUAAUUUUAGGUAGAUUCACGAGAAUAAUACUAAUUUUAGCUUCUAUACUAAUUUUAAUUUCUUUUUUUUUUUUUGGUUUAAACCCGCAUAUAUCCGCAACCCGCCCCGCACUGCAUCAUUUUAAAAAGAUUUACUCCAACCCGCCUGCUCUCCCACAUAGUCUAAAACUCGCACCGCCCCGCACCUGCACCGCCCCAUUGUCAUCCCUACAUUUUAAUCCAUAAUGGCUACCUAUUUUAACCCGUCAGGACUACCAUUUUCAACCCAUGCUUAUUUUGAAUGCAUAGGGCUAUUUUCAAUAAAUUCAGACGUCAAACAACAGUCUCUCUUUGAAUGCCCCAGAAAAUUUCACUAACAAAACUUAUCAAAUUUGGUUAGUGAAAAUGAAAUCAUACUUUAUAAUCUAUGUCAUAUUUGUUGUUGUGAUGGAAGAAAAAUACUUGCAACAUCAUUUUGUAAAUCCUACAAUUGUCCAAAUAAAAACACUUUCUAAAGAGAUUCUACACAAGACAAUGUCAUGGAAGAUGUUUUUUAAGCAGAAAACCCAAGGAAGAAAAAGAAAGAAAAAGAGGAAGAUUGAUAUCCAAAAAAUGUGCAAGUUCAAAAAUAACCAAGAAAAAUUUAGCAUCAACUGCCAGAACAAAACUGAGGAGCAGCAGUUUUUAAAUUGCAAUAACUAAAGCAAAGAGGAGUGUUGAAAUUUUGCAUUUAGUUACUGCAAUAAUUUUUAGUCCAAUAAGUUAUCUAUAUUUAGGGUGAAUUUGAAUUUUGAAUUUUAGUUAGGUUGUUUAAGAUGUUAGAGAUGUUUUUGUUUGUUUGAAUUUUGAAUUAUGCAGUUUGUUAUUGUAAGUUCACAAUUUAAAGCCCCGUACGCUUAAGAAGAUUGUUGAAAGUUAUUGAAAGUCAUUUCAAUCCAUUGAGAGUCAUUUAAACCCCUUUUUUGCGGCCUACGGAUACUGCUAGGGGAUAGAGUCAAAAUUGAAGUAGGUCCUUAUGAUUCAAUCAAAGGGCGUAUUAUUUAUACAUGGGAAGCUAAUCUUGUUGAUCAAAGCUAGGUUUCGAUCUUCAUCCAUAAAGUAGUUUAACUUUUUUAGCUAAUCUUGUUUAUCAAAGCUAUGUUUCGAUCUUCAUCCAUAAAGUAGUUACACUUUUUUAGGAGAGAAAAAUUUCCAGACAAAACAUAAAGCAUACACAACUUAGUACUUACUCUUCAUCUGACAGAAAUGGCCCACCAUCAAAAUAAUCACCUAGAAACAGAAUUACAUCUGGUUCGGAAGGUAAAAUAGAUGACAGGAAUGCCCUGCGCAUAUACAAAUCUGUAUAGAACUGAGCAGCUUCAAGUGCAAGGGAUUUCGGGGCAAGACGAAGAGAGGUUCUAUCCAUGAGCUGUCAAAAUAUAAAAUAUGUUGUGAAUAUGAAAUCAAAAUGUCAAAGCACACAACAUAUAAAGAUAAGCACAGUAAAGUCACCACUAUUUUCAGAAGGAAUACCUGAGGAUCAGUCAAAACAGCAAUUUUCACAUAGUCACGUUGAUGAUCUACCCCAUCCGUCUAAAAUCAAGGGGGAAAAAGUGUUAGCAUGCCUGAGUGUCUUAGUAUGUAUUUUUAGCACACACCAAGUAGGAAAAGCUGUUAGUAUAGUUUUUGAAGUAUCUAGUAUACGAAGUCCACCACUUAUACAUGUACUUAUAAGUUAUCCACCACUUACACAUGUAAUAAUAAAUUAGCUUUCCCAUAGAUUUCUUUCAUUUUCAUUUUAAUUAUCUAAGAAUGCCAGCCCCUUGUUAGAUCUGAAUUAAUCAGGGGCCUUUGAUAGACUUGUAUUCUCAAUGAAUAAGCAAGACUGCAAGUAGCAUAAAUGCAAUAGGAAGCAGUGCGCAAGCAUAAAACGAAAGGCCAACUAUCUUCUACUCCGUCCGUUUCAUAUUAUUUGGCCCCUGUUAACCUGCCACAUCCCUUAAGAAAGCUUUAGUUAGAGAUGUAUUUUACUAAACUUACGUUAUUAAUAAUGCUUUGAAACUCUAAGUUUGAUUACUACUACUUUAUGUAGUUAUUUAAUACUAAGGGUGGAAAGGAAACUGAAGAUGAUGACAGUUGACAAGGUUGAGUUCAAUUGCAUACACUAAUUCACAGAUAAAACUGGAAGAACAAAUUCUUCUCUAUUGGUCAACGCAGUCAACGCUGAGUAAUUCCUGAUCUGAAUAAAUCUAUAACUGAUUCCCACAGAAGAUUAACAAAAUGGGAACCAUUUCACAAUAACUAAAGCUUAAUCACUAUUUAACUAAAAGAAGAAAGAAAAUCAUUUCUUCAACAUCACCACAACCCCUCAAAAUCCCAGCACAAUUGCAACUGAACAUUGUCCAUUGUCCAUUUCAUCCGAAAAUAGAAUAAUAUUCCACAAGAUUAAAGGGUAUUUUGAUACAUUUGACAUAUCUUUAAUUUUUUAUGACAAGAUUCAAAAGUUGUUCUUAACUUUCUUAAACUUCGUGUCAAGUCAAAUACGCCGAACAAAUUGAAAUGGAGGGGGGGGGAUUCUUGAAUCUAGCUCAAAGAAAGAUAAAGUCAAGUGAAUUCCCACUUUAUCAAAGUUUGGAACUUCAUCAUGGAAUAAGAAACAUUUCAUCCAAAAUCAGAAUAAUACAGGGGGUGGGGUGGGGGGAUGGUUCUUGAAUCUAGCGCAACAAAGAUAAAGUCAAGUGAAUUCCUACAUCAAAUUUUGGAACUUUACCGUGGAAUAAUGAGAAAGAAAUGAUUUGGGUGGGGGUUUGUGCUUCUUGAAUCUAGCUCAAGUAAAGAUAAAGUCAAGUCAAGUGAAUUGCUAACUUCAGCAAAGUUGGAAUAUUACCAUGGAAGGAGGAGGAGGCCAAGAACAGGAGAGAAAAGGGAGCCAAAAAGAGAACAUCUCUCCAUAGAGGAGAGUCAAUGCCCAAAUUAAGCUCAAGAAAGCUGCUAACUUCAACAUCUUAGCUCAUCAAUUACAUACUGCUAACUCUCUCUACCUCCAUUUUCUUGUAGAUCCCAAAGCAAAGCACAGAGAAUAGACAACUGAACAAGUUUCUAUUUUUACACUUUAUAUUAGUUGGACUUUUAGCUAGAGCAGGUGACUUUGCUAUCAAUGGUGAUUUCUUUUCUAUUUAUUCCUUUUUUCUUAUUUUAUUUUCAAUUCGGUAUUCGAUAUUUGCAUUGAAACAAGAUUAUAUCUUGAUCGUGCAUUGAAACACUCUUAACAUGAUUUUUUUAGUGAAAAUUUGGCAAUUAAGCCUCUUCAAAUUUUCAAUUAGCAAAAUGAUCUGCCCUCUUCAAGUUUUCAAUUAGCAAAAUGACCUACUUUUAUUUUCUUAUUUGUCGGAUAGAUAACAAAUCUGUCUAUAUAUCUGUCGGACAAAUAAUUGAUCUUCCAUAUGUCAGAUUGUUAGACAGAUAAUAAAUUUAUCUCAAAAAUAGAUUAUUUUCCUAAAUAAAAAUUUUUUUGGUCCAUUUAAUUAAAAAAUACACUUAAAAAAUCUAUUUAACAAAGAGUUCCAUUUUUUUAUAUCUAAAUUCGAAUCCGAGACGUCUUAUCAAAAGGUGGAGGUACCCAACUAUUCCACCACAAAUUUAUGUUGGCUAUAUAUUGCUUCCGUUCACGUUUGGACAAUGUUUAAUUGAACAUUUAAACAAUUACUAUUUAAAGUUUUGUUUUAUGUAUUCGAUUAAAUUUGAAUUUACGAAAAGUUUAGUUUACAUCUUUUUCAUCUUCAAGAUCUUUUAAUUAAGAAUCAAAGGAUCACAACUAUUCUGUCACAAGUCAUCUCAGUAGUAUGUAAAGUUAGUCGAAGAAGCUUUAUGAGUAAAUACUCAAUAUCAUACUCAUAUUACAUUGAAAUAUUGCUCAAACAAGUUUUUCAACUUCAAUGUUAUAUUUCAAGCUAAACUUAAAACGCUGAAUAAAUGGUAAAAUAAAUUAAUUUGGAAAUAAUAGUUCAAUAUUUACAAGAAUUACUUGGUUUAUGUUCAAAGGCCUUAGCCUAGUAGAUCGGUCUUAAUUAAAUGUUGAUUUCUUAGAUCUUAGAAAGUAUAACUGUAUCACUUGGGAAAUCUGUAUCACUUUAUUACUAAAACUUAAGUGAACAAUUACAGAUAAUUUAUUUUUAAAAAAAAAAAAACUAACUGAACAAUUACAGAUAAUUUAUUUAUUUUAAAAAAAAAAAUGUUGACUUCCCAUUCAAUAGUAUCAAGACCCAGUAGAUGAAGAGAAUUGUUGCAACAUUUUGAUUCAUUAGAAAAUAUCGAACAUUUACUUUUACUCUUUAGUAUUUAUUUGUUGGUGCAUCAUAUAUUAAUUUUUCUACUAAAAAAAAUACACAUAUUAUAUAGUGAUAGUUAUAAUUUUAGUAUGUGUUGUCAUAAAAGAUUUUUUUAUCUUGAAUGAAUUGUUUUUAGAAGAUUACUAAUAAGACGGAAAGCACACACCAGAUCGUCAACAUGUCUAUUUCAGCUGUGUACUUUACUUAGUAUAGAGUUAAUUGGCUUGGUGGACAAUGUUUGUUAUUUUAUGUUGCACGUCUGUGGUUCGAGACUCUGUACCAAUCUUUAAUUUUUCUAAAAAUUAUACAAAUACACAACUUGUGUUUUCAAUAUUACAAAAAAUCCUAACUCCCUAAACCUAUUACAAAAAUCCCAACAUAUACACAAAAUGUUAUGUUUAUGUCGGCUAUGUUAUGUAUAUUAAUGGGGAGAGAGAGUAAAGUAAUUAAAAAAGUGGGAGAGAGUGUAAUUACUUUCAAAAGGGUUGGUAUUUAUGUUAUCUAUACUUAAUUUUUGCAUAUGCAGCUGCUGCUGCUUAUUGGGCUCACAUUGUUGUUGUUUAUUUAAUGGGCCCAAUUUUUGCAUAUGCAGCUGUUGCUGCUUAUUAGGCUCACAUUGUUGUUGUUUAUUUAAUGGCCCACAUUAGUUUUCACCAAUUCUUUUUUUUUUUUCGGUAAAUAGGGGAGAUUUGCAUUAAUAAAAGAGUUUUUUACAAGAGAAACAGCCUAACCAGGCUCAAAAUAGUAAACACUGGGCAUUGAAUGCCCAUUACAAUUUGUAGCUCGUGGGAAGGACUUGCCCGUAAAGUCCUCCCAAAAGAUUACUCUUACAUUAACAGGCGGAGUUACAAAAAUAUGCAUUUUAUCCAAAAACUUUUGCUUUGAUCCCUGCUUAGCCAUCCAAUCCGCUACUCUAUUCUGUUUCCGAUAUGUGUGGUAGACCGGAGAAUUCCCCAAGCUCCUUAGUAGAGACCUGCAUGCAUAAAUAAUUGAAUCAUAUAGCAAGUUUCCCUGGUGCAGCAUGUUAAUUAUUUUCAUAGAGUCAAUGCUCACAUCUAAGGGUUGCAAGUUGUGAUCCAAAGCUAGUUGGAGACCCUCUUUGAGAGCAAGAAGCUCUAUAAGGUUGUUAGUGGCAUAAGUGAAACUCUUGCUGAAGCCAAGGACACAGUUUCCUCUGCUAUUCCUAAAAACCCAUCCAAUUCCCCCUUUCCCCGGGUUCACAAGACAUGAACCAUCAGUGUUCAGCUUGUAGGUGUUAGGGGUUGGGCAUAGCCACUUCACACAGGUGACAUUGGCAGGGUGAUGGUUUGUGGGGUUUCCCAAGUAGUGAUACUCCACCGCUUCCGCAUAGGGGAUGCUGAAGCUAGGGGGAGUUUUGAGUCUUGGAAGUUAUAAGCAUUUCUAACUUUCCAAAGGUGCCAUAAGAAAAAGGAUAGGAGAGUACCCCAGGGAGUGUUGGUGUCAAAGGAGUCUUUGCUAAGAGUUUUCCAAGUGGAAGACUAGUUAUUAGUGUCAAACGUAGAUAGGUGGAGAUAGAGGUUUCCCUUAUAUUUAUGGAUAAGGUUAAGCCAAAAGGCUUUGGCAGUGUUGCAACCAAAGAAAAUGUGGUUCUGGUCCUCAUUAUCUAAGUUGAAGGAGAGACAGGCCCCUUUUGGAAAGAGAGACUCUAGUUGGGAGGUUGUUAUGGUGCAAAAGCCACAUAAAGGUUUUGAUCUUGUUGGGGACGUGGAGGUGCCAAAUACAGUAAUAGGAAGUGUAAUUCCUGUUAGGGACCUUUUUCAGGUUGGUGAUGUAGUGAUAGACACUCUUGCAAGAAAAGGUGCCAUCACCAGUGAGUCUCUAGAGGGGGGUGUCAUGGUUUAAGUGAGAACUUUGGAGGAAAGCACUACGGAUAUUAUGAGUGAUGGUUGGAGGAAGGUCAUAGGGUAGGGAGCUGAGGUUCCAAUUACCUUUCCUCCAGACAUCCUUAACCAUGUUAGGGUUCAGAGGGUUAUUUAAAGGCCCAAGGAUAAUAGCAGAUAGGGGAGGCAUUCCAGGUACCCAUCUAUCAUCCCAAGCCCUGACCUUAUCCCCAUUCUUGAUAGCCCAAAAUAGAGCAUCUCUGCACAUGUUCCAGCAUUUUGUGAUGUUGUUCCAUGUCCUUAAGCCUGUGUUGGUGGCCUUUAUCCCAGUGCCAUACUUGGAUAUGAGGGUCUUAGCCCAAAGGGGGGUGGGGUUGGAGUGCAUUCUCCAACCCAGGCUGCAGAUAAGGGCAUCAUUUCUUAUGGUAGCCUUAUGGAUGUCCAUACCACCAUCUUUUUUGUGAAAAGUGAUGGUGUCCCAGCCAAGAAGAUGCAUCUUUCUUUUGAUAUUGGUGGUGCCCCAGAUGAAAUUUCUCUGAGUUCUGUCAAUCAGCUUGUGGAUGGUUCGAGAGAGAUGGAUAUACUGCAUAACAUGGUUGGGGAUGCUUGCUAGGAAGGCUUUGGCAAGUGUGACCCUGCCAGAUAUGUUAAGGAACUUGGUUUUCCACCCAACAAGCUUGUUAUUUAAAUUGUCAAUGAUGAAUUGAAAGUCAUAUUUCACAUGCUACUUGUGGAAGAUGGGAUACCCCAAGUACUUGCCAAAGAGGUCUGAGGGGUGGAUGUCAAGGAUAGAGGAAAGGUAAGCCUGAUCUUGCUGCCUGCAAUUAGUAGAGAAGAUAACUUUAGAUUUAGCAAGGUUGAUUUUCUGCCCAGAGUGAGAGCUGAAGCUCUGAAGAAGCCUAUUAAUGGUGUGGCAGUUCUUAGAGCUAGCCCUGGCAAAAAGGGUGAGGUCAUCAGAAAAGGUAGGAGACAGGGGGCCUCUGUUAUAAAUGAAAAUGGGGUUCCAGUUAAGAGUGUCCACCUCAUAGUUGAUCCUCCUAGAAAGGAGUUCCAUGCAGAGGAUGAAGAGGUAGGGAGACAUGGGGUCACCCUGUCUAAUGCCCCUAGAGGGGUUGAAAGGGUUGGCUUUUCUACUAUUGAUCAGAAUGGAUAUGGAGGAAGAGGAAAUACAAGAUAGGAUGAGCUUAGUGAGGUUCUUAGGAAAAUUAAAGAAGUUAAGGGCUUGUCUAAUAAAGGACCACUCUAUCAUGUCGAAGGCUUUCUCCAAGUCUAUCUUGAGAAGCAUGCAGGCUUUUUUUCCUUUCAUCUUGGAGAAGUGGCUAACAUACUCCUAGAUAAGAAUGGCAUUAUCCGAGGCCCUUCUUUUGGGCAUGAAGCUGGCUUGACUGGGGUCAAUGGUUUUAGCCGGAAAAGGUUUCAACCUAGUGGUGAUGAUCUUAGUGAUAAUCUUAUAUUGGGUAUUGCAGAGGCUAAUGGGCCUAAAGUUCUUUAGGGAGGUGGCAUUCCAAUAUUUGGGAAUCAGACAGAGGUAAGUGGAGUUAAUCUUAGGGUCCAUGGUGUAGGAGGUGAAGGUUUCCUGAUAGAAUUUGACCAGAGUGGGGCCCAGGGUGUCCCAGAAAUUCUGGUAAAAAAAGGGGUGGAGCCUAUCAGACCCAGGAGCUUUGUUGGGUUUAAAAGAGAAUACAGUUCUCCUUACAUCCUCAGGUGAAGGGACAACUUGGAGCAGGUCAUGGUUGAGGGAGUUGAUAGACCCAAGGGGGGAAGGGUUUUACUGAGUGUCAAUGUACCCACAAGAGUGUUCAGUAGUAUAAAGGUUAACAUAGAAGGUGGAAAUGAUAUUGGCAAUAUCCUUGGGGUGGUAAUGCCAAAUGCCAUUUCCAUUUACAAGAGAUUUGAUUUUGUUCCUUCUUCUCCUGUUGAGAGUGAAAGUAUGGAAGAAUUUAGUAUUUGAAUCCCCUUCCAAAAGCCAUGAGAUUCUGGAUUUGAGCUUCCAGAACUCAGUCUCUAGAUUAAGGAUGUGAUUGAACUCCUUCAGAAGAGUAUUUUCCAGCCCAUGGAGGAAAGAACUAGAGGGGUAGUUUGGGGAUCUUUGAAUGCCAACUAACCUUACAAGCAAGUGCUUUUUCUUUUUAAAAAUAUUGCCAAAGAUGGUCCUAUUCCAGUCCCUGGCUUUACCCUCGAAAGCAAGGGUGGCCAUGGUGAGGCAGGGACAGUUAGAAAAGGAGUUCUUGAUGAGGUUUGGGAAGUCCUGAUGGCCGAGCCACAUGGAUUCCACCCUGAAAGGUUUAACCUGAAUACCUGGGGGAUCCCAUGCUCAAGAGGAGGGGUGGGUUUUAGGUAGGUGGGUGACAGAUGCCUCAGGGUAUAGAUGGACCUACAGGUCAUUAGCCAGCCCUCUAUCUAAUUUUUCUAGGAUCAAGCCCUGUCUACUCCUAUAUCUCAUUUUUCAUUUAUAUUGUGUAUUUCCAUUUACCAAAAAAUAUAUUUUCAACAAUUAAAAUGUCUUUUCAAAAUAAUUUAUAUAUUUAAAAAAUAUAUUAAAAUUAAUAUAAAUUAUAAUAAUUAAUAAUUAAAAAAAUAUAUUAGAAAAUUAUAGUUAAAAAAAUUGUUUGACUUUCAAGAUUUCAUCUGCCUCACAUAAAUUAAUGUAAAAAAUGAUAUACUUUCUCCGUCAACAUGCUUGUUUCUUCUGCCUGCUUUAGCUACUUCCUCCGUCAUUUUAUUAUAUCAUCUCUAAUUAAUUAUUAUAAUUUUAUUUAUGUAUUAUAAAAUUAAUAAUAUCUAAUAAAAAAUAAAAAGAUAUUUAUGACAUCUCUGUUUCAGCUGUUUCACCCAUAAUUUGACUGUAUCACCCAUAGUUAAUUAUUAUAAGUCAUCUAAAUAUUAAAAAAUUAUUAUAAAGUCAUCUAAGUAUUAAAAAAUUAAUAAUAUUUAAUAUUAAAUUUACUUGACAUUUUAUAUGAGACCCAUUUAAUUUUUUCCUGCAAGUAGUUUUGUAUAGUAAUUUUUUUGUAUCACUUUUAAUUAGACAUAUAUGUUUCAUUGUUUCAAUGUGAUUUUNNNNNNNNNNNNNNNNNNNNNNNNNNNNNNNNNNNNNNNNNNNNNNNNNNNNNNNNNNNNNNNNNNNNNNNNNNNNNNNNNNNNNNNNNNNNNNNNNNNNNNNNAGAGAGAAUAAUAAGUUAAUCAAAAAAAUUUCACAAGUAUUUUUCAUAGUAAUUUUGCUAUAUCACUUCUAAUUAGUUGUUGUGAGUCAGUAAGAUAUGUCUGCUUCGCUGUUUCAAUCGUAAUUUUAUCAUAUUACCCAUAAUUAAUUAUUAUGUUCAUCUAAGCAUUAUGACACUUAAAUUGGAAUAGAAGAAAAAAUAUUAUACAUCACAAUAAUUUAAAACUUAAAUUAUUUAAAAAAUGUAAUUGACUAUCAAUGCCACAAAAGUUUGGACAACGAGACCGAUAUAUAUUAUUUGAAAAUUACAUAAAAAGUAUUAUAAAUUACAAUAAUAAACAGCUUUGAAUAUCUAUAAAAAAUAUCUGUUAUAUAUCUUUAAAAAAAUAUUAUAAAUCACAAUAGCUAAAAUAAUUUUUAAAAAAAUAUUGUUGGACCCGUGCCUUGCACGAGCUGUUAGUAAGGAGUAGUUGUUUUUAGAAGAUUAAAAGAUGGGAUCAUUUAAGUGAAAAGAAAGAACUAAGUUGCUUUUCAAUAUCACAUUUAAUUGCCUAGAAAAAAGUUAUUUGAGAAAAUUAUAUUGUACAAGCCAUCAAUAUAAGCAUUUGAAUUUAUUUAUUUAUUUAUUAGGAAACAUUUUUCCUCUCAUACAAUAUUACUCUUAUCGUUAUAUAACUACAACAACUUGAUUUAAUAUUCAAAUUUAAUUCUGUAAAACAUUAGAAUAUUUUGUACGAGUAAUUUGGUAAAAUUCUUUAUAAUAAGUCAAUGGAAGACUAAACGGAAAGUAAAGAAUAUUUGAUUACAGUAAAAAUAGGGUUUACAUAGACAUUAAUGUAAGCAUCUAGCAGUUUGAACUUAACAAAGUCUUUUUUCUUUUUUUUAAUCAUAGUGUCGAACUUACGUAUAGCUCAAGUUCACUAAAAUAUUUCACUAAAAUAAACUAGUGUUUGGUCAUAAAUUCUCAAAAAAUGAAAUUUAACUUAAAUGCUAGUUUUUUCUAAUAUUUGAAAAUUUGAAUUAUUUAUCAAACAAUAGAAAUUGUAUGACCAAACACUAUUUGCCAUUUUUUUUUUUUUUUAAAAACUAGUUGAAAAAUCUAUGAUCAAACGAGUGCCAAGAAAAAUGAUCCACCGGAUCUAUGAACAAAAGUUAUUUUAUUUUAGUGUAAAUACAUAGUUACCCCUGAUCUUGUCCGAAUUUUGCAAAAAGACACCUAAACUUUAACUUCGACCUAUUACCCCACGAAUCUUCUUUAUUCCAUUACAAAUACACCAUUUUGAUCCUCUGCGUGUAUACACGUGCCACAAGCACGUGAAAAGGCAAAAAUUGACUUUUUUGACCAAUUANNNNNNNNNNNNNNNNNNNNNNNNNNNNNNNNNNNNNNNNNNNNNNNNNNNNNNNNNNNNNNNNNNNNNNNNNNNNNNNNNNNNNNNNNNNNNNNNNNNNNNNNNNNNNNNNNNNNNNNNNNNNNNNNNNNNNNNNNNNNNNNNNNNNNNNNNNNNNNNNNNNNNNNNNNNNNNNNNNNNNNNNNNNNNNNNNNNNNNNNNNNNNNNNNNNNNNNNNNNNNNNNNNNNNNNNNNNNNNNNNNNNNNNNNNNNNNNNNNNNNNNNNNNNNNNNNNNNNNNNNNNNNNNNNNNNNNNNNNNNNNNNNNNNNNNNNNNNNNNNNNNNNNNNNNNNNNNNNNNNNNNNNNNNNNNNNNNNNNNNNNNNNNNNNNNNNNNNNNNNNNNNNNNNNNNNNNNNNNNNNNNNNNNNNNNNNNNNNNNNNNNNNNNNNNNNNNNNNNNNNNNNNNNNNNNNNNNNNNNNNNNNNNNNNNNNNNNNNNNNNNNNNNNNNNNNNNNNNNNNNNNNNNNNNNNNNNNNNNNNNNNNNNNNNNNNNNNNNNNNNNNNNNNNNNNNNNNNNNNNNNNNNNNNNNNNNNNNNNNNNNNNNNNNNNNNNNNNNNNNNNNNNNNNNNNNNNNNNNNNNNNNNNNNNNNNNNNNNNNNNNNNNNNNNNNNNNNNNNNNNNNNNNNNNNNNNNNNNNNNNNNNNNNNNNNNNNNNNNNNNNNNNNNNNNNNNNNNNNNNNNNNNNNNNNNNNNNNNNNNNNNNNNNNNNNNNNNNNNNNNNNNNNNNNNNNNNNNNNNNNNNNNNNNNNNNNNNNNNNNNNNNNNNNNNNNNNNNNNNNNNNNNNNNNNNNNNNNNNNNNNNNNNNNNNNNNNNNNNNNNNNNNNNNNNNNNNNNNNNNNNNNNNNNNNNNNNNNNNNNNNNNNNNNNNNNNNNNNNNNNNNNNNNNNNNNNNNNNNNNNNNNNNNNNNNNNNNNNNNNNNNNNNNNNNNNNNNNNNNNNNNNNNNNNNNNNNNNNNNNAUUGGAGUGUAUAUAGUGUAUAUUGGAUUUUUUAUUUAAUUUUUAAACGGGUUUGACCGGUUUUUAAUCGGGUUUGAUCGGGUUUUGAUGGGUUUGACUGGGUUGGGUUAAGUGGGCCGGGUUAGGGUGGGUUUUAAUUUUUUUACUGUUUGGCCCGGCCCGCCCAGAUCCGGUUAACGUGACCCUUAACCGGCCCUCAAUCCGAUUAAAAUGGAAGGACCGGUUCCGGGUUGGCCCGACCCGACCCGUUUGACACCUUUAACCUAAUCUUUCACAGGAUAUUAAAAAAUUACUAGUAGUAGCGCACCGUCCAAAUAAACAACUGAAUAAAAGCAAAUAAUGACUUUAGCUUAUAUUUGCACAACACUCAUCCCCGUCCUUACCAAUUAUUUUCUUUAUCGAAAAAGAAUAUUUAUAAAAUUCAAGAUUAAAACGAGUUAUAAAUAUUUGUAUGAUUAUAAAUUAUAUCAUUAAAAAUAAGAUAAAAUAAUUUAUCUUUAAAAAAAAGUCAAUGUGUUGGGGUAUAUGAAAAAUUAAGGAACUUGUUAUAAAAUUAGAUGUUAGAGGUCCGUGCUUAUAUUUUAUGUUAAUGUUGUAUUGUAUAAUAUAUUUGAAGUUUGUUCUAGAAGUCUGAUCUGUAAAAAAAAGACUAAAGUUAUAAAGUUACUCUUUAAGUAGAUUUUGAUUCGUCUAUAAUAUAUGAUUGCAAUAAAGAAUUAUAUAUGCAAUGCAUAGUUUUUAGGCUUGUUUCAUAAUGACGAUAAAAGAGCUUCAUAAAGUUGAAUUCCAUAUGUUAAUGCAUAAAGCAUUUGUAGAAAAUUAACAGAAUCACAUGUGUUUUCUUUGAAAUUUGAAUUCCCUUUCCCAAAGGGGAACAAAUUGGUACGACUGAUUAAAGAAAAUGGACAACUUAUCUUUCUAUCGAGUUCAAUUAGUAGGACAAUUAAUAUCAAGAUCUGUUACUUCUUCGAAGCAAUGAACUCCCAGACUUCCGGUAGUCAGCCAGGUUAUUCACUGCUUCUUCUAGCUGGCGUUGAAGGGAGAUUAGGGUCUCAUACUUGAGUUCAGCAGCACGAUUCAAGUCAUAAUCACGUUCAACAGCUUCCAUAUCUAAGUUCACUCUAUCAAUCUACUCAAUGAAAAAAACUUGACAGUAAUCAUGAGAAUACAAAGAAAAACUUGACUUGAAUUGAUUUCAGUAUCAGAACCAGCAAUUCACCUCCUCCUUUAUAGAACAUAUGCAUGUCAUGAGAGCUUUCUCGCUUUCCCACUGUUCAUUUAACUCUUUCUGUUUUUGCUUGAGGGACUUCAAAUCACUUUCUAGCUUGUUCUGUUUUUCUUUUCAGAUGCUUUAUCCGUGUCAUUUUUCAGAGAAAGUUUCUUCAUUUUCAACUUCAUCACAGUCCUAUCUAUCUCAUCCAAUUCAGUUGGUUUUGAAGUAAUUUCCAUCUUUAGUUUUGCAGCAGCUUUAUCAACAAGGUCAAUUGCUGAAACGUAAGGAUAGAAUAUAGAGUAAGAAACGGUAAAGAAAAGUCUAUAAACAUUCUUCAAGAUCUUGAGAUCUUGAUCCACCAGUCCACUCUAUAAUAAAACAUUUGAUUUGAAGGAGACAAAAAUAAGAAGCUUCUACCCUGUAACCUGAUCUAUAACCAAUUCCUCUAAAGAAACUCCAACAAACAUGUGAGUAAAUAAAACAAGAUAGGAAGAAAGAAUUGAGUGAAAAUUCAACUUUCGAAAAUUCCCUCAAGCCAUUGGAAUUUUUAAAUAGCUAAGUGUACACAUUCUAAGAAAAGAAAGAGGAAGUAAAUACAGAAAAUAAAUCAAGCUAUAACAUAAGUAAUACAUAAGAUUUUACAACUUUUACAAGAUUCUAAUACUCUCCCUCAAGAUGGUGCAUAAUAGGGACUUGAUGAAAAUAUUUACAAGCUAAUCAUUUGACUUCACAAAAUUUGUAAAUGUCUUCGAAAGUAUAUUUUCUCUGUUGAAGUGGUCCCAACGUCUUUAGUUUUUUAAAUGGAACACAGGAUUUGAUGCAACUUGAUUAUCGGAUACACAUUUCAUUUGACUGAUUUCUCCAAACUUAGAUCUCUGGGGAAUUGUUUGAUCAAAAUUAGUUCGCAAGUUGCCACAACUUUCGCUCGGUGAUCUACUUUUGCAAAAUUGAGCAGCCACAUUUUAUUUCUUGCUCUUCCAAGACAUCAAACCUAUCAGAAGGUGAUCCAGCCUAAUCAGCAUCAAUGCAUCCCACAAUUUGUUCAUGACUUUGAUUCUCAAAAAACAUGAUAACAAAAUAGAUCUUUGGAUCUGACUGAACCCAAACAGCUAGCUCAAGAAGUAAGGAUUGUCAGUACUAAGUAUGGUACUAUUACUUCAUUUUCUUACUGAACCCCAAAAGUUCAUUUUUUGGUCUUAUUACUUCAGAUUGUUUGCAAGGAUUGUAUAAAGUAUGGUACUAUCUUUUUUGAUUGUAUCUUGAGGUUUUCAAUUUUCUACAACCCCCGCCCCUUCCCCACCCUAAUGAUAUAUUUUGUUUUCGCAUGUUAAAAAGGAUCAAACACAAUUCCCAUAAAAAGGUAAAUUAGAGAGGUUAUUUUCGAAAGAUCCCGGCUCAAGAAAAUUUCAUAUAACAAGCCUUUAAUAAAUAUUUUAAGUGCAUAUACAAGAGAAGACAAAAUGAUAAAAUCAAAAUUCUAGAUUGUCAUUGUAGUCACACAUACAAAAGGGAUAGCAAAAUCCAUCUACAAAAUCCUAUAUCUCACAAAUAGAUAAUAAAAUUUAAGGAAAAAAAAUCCCUUUCUAGAUUUUGCAUGUACCCAUGUACCCAACUCCCAAAAUUUAGCACAAUAGUUAAAUCUACUGGGAUGCACACAUUCUACAUAAAAAAAAUUGCUGUCACAUUAAUUCAUCAACUGAUUAACAAUAUCAACUGCAUCAAAAUAAAUUAAUCUCAAAAGAUCAGAACUGUUUUCACAAGUCUGGAGAGGAUAAAGUGUACACAAGACUUACCACUACCUCGAAAUGAUGCAAGUUCCUAACACAACAUUCACACAUGUUCUCACGAUAUAAGUAAAGAUCCCUUGAAUAUUCCAACAGAAAAAUAAGAACUUGCAAAAUAUGACUACUUCUAUUCUGUCAGAUGAAGCCUUAACAACAAAUAUGAUCUAGUUCUACCUCCAACUUCACCCCCACCCCAAAAAACCACAAGCAUAGAGAGUGGAACUGUCAAAGCCAAAAACAGAUUAGUUCAAGAAGCUUAAGAAACACAAAUUAAACAAAAUCAAUAUUCGCAAAAUUUAUCAAAAGUAGUAAUACAUAUUUCAUUACACAACUCCCAUCAAUUAUAAUUCCAAAAAAUAGAAUGAAACAGAAAUCUUUUGAGGGAAGCAAGAGUAACUCGCCAAAGUUAGUUUCAAUGUCUUCAAAAGACAAAGUAAGAUUCUUUUCCAUCAAAUUACACUUCCAACAACUUUAAAAUCCCCGAAAGACAGAACUGAUCCUCAAAAGCACCCAAAAAUUCACCAUCCCACUUCCCGAAUCUAAAAAAUUCAAUAACCUUUUUCUCAAUUUACCAAAUCACAAAAAGAAAAACUAUAAAAACACUCGGACUUUACUAUUUUUGACCUAUUCAAACGCUCAAAUUUUAAUGUUAAAUUUCAAAAAAAUACACAAGAAAAAGAAAGAAAAACUUCAAAAUAAUCAAGAAUUCAGUAUUCUCAAAACCCCACAACUCCUUUUGUCAAAUUUCAAGAAAAUUCACAAAGAAAACUUUAAAACAAUCAAGAAUUACUAUUUUUCAAAAUCCAACAACCUCGUUAGUCAAAUUUCUCAGAAAAAAAGAAGAAGAUAGUCUCAGAAUGCUGAGAGAAUAGAAACAUAAGUUUCCAUAAAAAAUGAGUUGUGAUUAUAAGGCUUUUGAGAUUGACACUUUUAGAUUUUUCUUUUAUGCAAUAAUGUUGUAGAAGGAAUUGUACAACUAAAAGGGAAGGAUCAACAGCUCGGAUAAUAUACAAAUGUAUAUCUCUUUUGUGUUAUCUAAAAUACACUACAACAAUGUGCAUAUAUCGCUAUAAAAUUCGUUGUACCUAAAUAUAAAAAAAAAUAAAAUUGGCUAAGUGCUUUAGCUACAAGAAUUUUUUCCGUAGUAUGUGUAGCUAGAAGUGACGUAACUAAAAAUCAACUGAAAAUUUUAGUAUUUCAUGGCUAAGGAUUUAUACCUAUUGCUAUAAAAAAAUUUGUGAUGUGGCUAUUCUAAAAAGGUAUAACUGCCACGAAAAUAUCACUAUAAGAAAAUGGCUAAAUUGUGACAGAGAUUUUAGUCACAAAUCACUAUUUGUGACGGAAAACUGUGCGUCUCAGAACCUUUGGUCAUAAAAUCAUUGUGACGGAUUUAAUUUCCGUCACAAAAUUAUUGUGACGGAACUGAGACAGAUCGUCCGUCACAAUAUAAAUACUUAAAUUUGACUUAAAUUCCGUCACAAAUUUAUAACAGAUUUUUGACAAAAUAUUCCGCUAUAAAAUAGUGACAAAAUAAUUUCCGUAACAAAUUUUCAAACCUAGUCACCACAAUUGUGACAAUAUAUUUCGUUACAAAUAAUUUGUGACAGACUAAUGUAGUCACAAUUUACGAUAGAUUGUGACAGAUUAAAUAUGUUACAAAUUUUAUUUGAAUUUUUAAUUUUAAUAAAUUAUAAUUACGAAAUACUAUGCUCUCUCACUCUCUCUCUCUCACACACACACACUAUAUACAUAUAUAUAUAUAACAUAAUACAAGAUUUAUAAUAAAAAAUAUAUGAAGUUAAUUAAAACGUGCAAAAUCACAACUUCAAUAAGCAAAAGUCUACCAAUGUUUAAAAUUUAAAGUAUAUAACUAUCCAAAAAAGUGUGACAAUGUUCAAGUAGACACUUCAAGUAACUAAAAUCUUAAAAUAUUAAACACUUAAGCAUUAGAUGAGUCCUAUUAGGGGGAGUAGGAUUACUAAUGAGCAAGAAGAUAAUGUCAUAUCGCUCAUCAUGCGAGACCAUUGCUCCUCCAUAGAUUUGAAUCGAUCAUCACUUUGUUGCCUCAAACGGAAAACCUCUUGCUCUACUCGUUGUUGCAGCUCUAACUCUACACACUCUUGAAGAACUCUCUAUUAAUUUUCUCUCAUAUACGACACCUCUUUCUCAAGUAUUUUGAUGCGCUCUUCGGCAACAUGAUCAGACACUACAGGCAAAUUGCAUGUCAUAUCUUUAUACAAGGUUGAAGCUUAAGAUCCCAAUCCAUACACACAUUAUUUUUUUGCUCCACCCAUAAUAUCGAAGUACAUGCGGUUUGUAUCAAGUUCUUGAUCUUCUGAUGAAUCAUCUGUCGAUCCCGAAAGAGCAGUAGCUAUGACAACCUCCAUUUUAUCUUAAAAAAUACAAAUAAUCAGCCAACAAAAAUAGUAUGAAACAAACAGAAUGCUAAAACUAUUUAUUAAUAAGCAAAAGGUAAAUGUUACAGGUAUUAUUGAAUGAUGUUAAAGUAUAACAGAAAGAAAACAUAGGAUAUCCCGUAUAGAGUCUGAGCGAGCAUGUGAAUUUGUGUUGCUUGGACUCUCCAAAAAUGUUAAGCCACACCCAUGAAUGCUUCAUUUUGAAGAGUUCGAACAACUUUACGAGUGAUACUCGAGCAUCUAAAUAUCCCCCCAAUCUCCCCCCACCCACCCCCAAUGAAAACUAACAACUUUUUUAUAACCACAAGAUACAAAAACUGCUGUUAAAUUUUUAUAAUAUGUACAAGAAACUCAAAUGAACUAGUAUUUGUAUACUCUUUUUACUGCCUGACAGAAUAGUCCAGUCUAGCAAACAUAUUGAACUAAAAAGCAGAUUGACUCUAUAUUGUUCGGGCUCUUAAAAAAUAUCAUCAAAAGUGUGUCGAAUUCUUCCGAAGCUAUGCAUUUUUGGAGGAACAGACACAGAUGCGAUAAUAUUUUUGAGUGUUAUCUUGGACCUGAGAGUUUGCUAUGAAGACAUAUAUGAGAAGGAAUUGUAAGAGCUACUAGUAGUACUACUAAAGUUUCUGUUUUGUUGAUGUAACUCAAACACAUUAACCUCUUGAACCCCCUCGAUCAUCUAUGCUUCAGUGAAUGUUGCUGUGAAGACAUAUAUGAGAAGAAAUUGUAAGAUCUACUAGUAGUACUGCUAAAGUUUCUGUUUUUAGUUAGUAUUGAGAAGGGUCAGGUUGAUAAACUAGAUAAACUAAAAGAAUAAACUACGUACCUUACAUAUAUAAUAUCCUUGAGAAAAAAAAAAGCCCCUUACAUUUACAUAUACUACAUAUAUAAAACUGGUAACUUUCUUAAACUUAUUGUUUUGAUAAUCUCCAGAAUAAUUUUUUAAACAUUAAUUAAGUCUAGUUCAUGUCUCACUAUCUUGAAAACUAAUCUUCAACAAGCUAUCCUUAAGGUCACCACAUACUGUACAUCUAUCCUAACAUUUAUAUAAAUCACAAAGGGUAAGAAUCUAUUAAUAAAAUAGGACCUAUUUUGAUAUUGUUCUAAUAUCUCUAAACAUUGGCAUGAACUAAUCGAGAGUUCAGCUCAAAAAGUCAUGUCAUUAGGCUCAUUCAGACAUGGUUAUUCAUAGUCACUACUUUUUAAAUCACUUUAAGUGAUGUACUCCAGUAUUGUGUAAGAUUUUUAUCUCAAUGGAAGGUAAAUCUUCUCAUUAUGAGUAUGGUGUCAUUACCAUUUGCCUUGCAAUUAGAGAGGUCCUCGCGUGGAAUGGUGGGUGUACGUGCACCUGUUAACUUCAGAAAAAGUUGUGUACAAAUUUGUAUAUAACUUUCAAAUUAGUAUAUUAAGUGUGCACAUUCUCUUCUAGAUUGAAAGUAGCUUUGAGGGAACGCUGGUCGCAGACGCAAAUUUCUUGAUAUUUAAGUUCAAUCUUGAUAUUCAGUUGGAGAUCCCUGAAAACACUUCCUUUUCCAAUUCUGUUUCAAGCGAAUGAAAGAUAAGCGAUGCCAACCAAAUGACAUAACUUACUCUGUUAUGGUUGAGGCAUAUAGAAAAUAAGGUAUGACAGACAAAAUUUAUGAUUUAGAGCAAGAGAAGCAGAUGAUGUCUGCCUCAGAAUCCAGCGACGAUAGCCUUCCUAAUGAAGAAACACUAGAGUUGAUGCCUACAUGAAAGCUAAUAUACAAUUGACAUUUGAUGAUGCAUUUCUGGUUAGUUUACUCAUCUAACUGGUACUACAGGAAUAGACCUCCUGACCUUGAAUUCUAGGCUAAAGCUAAUUAGUUGUUCACAACAAAAGUGAAGGUACUUACAGAAACAUAAAACAGAAGCAGAAAGAUUAUUACAUGGAAAUGUUGCAGGCAUACAUAAAUAUUGAUACAAGAUCAAGUUCAAACACAAGAAGCAAACCACAACAAGAACAACAAGAUGUCAACGAUAAUGCUAGUGAAUCGAAAUAGGCCACACACGGCUUUACUAAACUUCAAGAGUUCAACAAAAAAAUAGAUUUUUAAGAGUACAAGAUUGCAACAAGUGUAGUGAAUCGAAAUUGGCCCCACACGACUUCACUACUUCAAGUUACAAACAACAAUUCACUCUACUUGCAAGAUCUAUAUUGAUCUCAUGCUUUCAAUAUCUAAAGAAUGAGAAGCUUAAUAGAAAACUUACAUUAAUGCUCUUCGACUUAGCAUCAACAAAACUGCCAUCCUUUUUUUGGUGUAACUUCUUAAAUAUCUCCCAUGAAUUUGGUUCACGACCCAUUUUGGUUGCCUAAAAAAAAAGUUCAACAUUAAAAGCGAAGAUAAAGUCAAAGAAUUAAUCUAUUAAAGUAUGAAAUUUAUCAAUUUUAUAGUAUGCUCCACUGUUGACCUGGAACCACCGGUAUGCUUACUUGGACCAGUGCCCGGACCACCAGUUUCACUACAUCAAUUUUGAGUUGCAAUAUGAGAUUUGUUCUUAAACUCAUCAGAAGCCCAAUAUUUCUUCCAGCUUUGCCAAACGUUAUCCAACACAAAAUUUGGUUUGUUUAUUUUUCUUCGCCAAUGAUAUAUUCUUUUUGUAUAUAAGUUGGAUGCCACCUUCUUCCAGGUGCGUUCGAUUAUGGAGUUCUCUGUAGGAUUCUACUGAUAUGAUUUCUAGAAAAAAUAUUAGUUAGAGACAUAAACACAACAAUAACAUUAUAAAUUUCUAAUAUAAAGUAAUAUUUACCAUGAAUUCAUGCCAAUAGAAUUUACAAGUGGAUUCAGUAACACCCCUCCAUGUGUAUCCAGUAGCAUCUUGUCAUUCCUUAAAAUUUUUUGUGAUAGUCUUUGAGAUAGAAUGGCCAUUAGGAACAAACCUAAAAUAUAAUUAGAAAGAGUAAAUUAUACAUUUUAUGAAAUUUAUUUUUUAAAAAUGAUAAAUAUUUUUUGUAAAAGUAUCUUCUCUUACUUUUCUCCGACAACUGAUAUGACCAACCGCCUAGUUGUUGAUGACCUGCUACUAGACCUAAUAGGAAUAUCUAUGGAACUAGGAGUAUCAGGAGAACCAGCAACCAAUGAUGGUGUAUCACUCAUAUUCUAAAAUGACAAUUAUUCUAUAACUGCAAAACAAAGUCCAUGAAAAACGAAUCAUGUGAAAUAAAUUAUUUACAAAGACAUAAAGAAAGAAGAAAAAAGUCAACACUUUUAUCCAUUCUAUUCCACUUUAAGAAGAAGAGCAUCAGUGUCUUCUGACACUAGAAACAACCCCACCAAGAAGCAUCAAGAAUCUUGAAGCUCAAAACUUUUCAGCUAUUUCAAGGACUCUAACAACAACCACAAUCCACAAAAGGAAAUCUAGCUCCGAAUUACUAACAACAGGAAAAAUUAGAUUCACAAUAAAGGAAGUAGUAUCAAAACUCAGCACAAACUAGUACAUGUAACUACUAACAACAGGAAAAAUUAGAUUCUUCUUCUUUUCUUUUUAUGAAGUUCACAUUUCUCCUUUUCCUCCUCCUUCUCCUUCUCCUCCUCCCCUUUCUCCUCAUUAUUAUUAUUAUUAUUAUUAUUAUUAUCAUCAUCAUCAUCAUCAUCAUCAUCAUCAUCAUCAUCAUCAUCAUCAUCAUCAUCAUCAUCAUCAUCAUCAUCAUCAUCAUCAUCAUCAUCAUCAUCAUCAUCCUCAUCCUCAUCCUCAUCCUCAUCCUCAUCCUCAUCCUCAUCCCUAUCCCUAUCCCCAUCUACAUCCCCAUCCCCAUCCCCAUCCUCAUCCUCAUCCUUAUUUUUUUCCUCAUACUCCCCCUCCUUCAUGUCAAUAAGCAUACCAUCUAGAUCAUUCAAUGUGUUAAAUAUUUUAUUUUCAUCAAUAUCAAUCUCAUGAAUUUGACUAUCAUCUUCUUGAAAAGCUGAAUCAUUCAAUGUAUGAGGUUGCUCUACUUUUUUGGGAACAUCUACAACAGAGCGUUCCUUUAUUGGGCAAACGACUAACCAUUCACUCACUAUCUUUUUUACAGUAGGAUAUAUUUCAAAAUUCACCUGAGAUACUUGUAUAACCAUAAUAAAUGGUUCAUAUUUGUUAAACAAUCUUCUCUUGUUAGCAUCAACAAGAUUAUAUUGUGGAUGCACUCUUGUACCAUGCUUUUACAUCGGAUCAAACCAAGAACACUUAAAUAACACGGUUCGCUUGAAUGGUAAUGCAUUAUACUCUAGUUGCAAAUCUCUAUCAAUCAAUCAUAGUAAUUGAUAUUAUCUGCACUAUGGAUAGAGCCCUUGAUGCAUACACCAUUAUUCAUCGUAGAUUUAUUUGAACCGUAUUCUUCAGUGUGAAACUAGUAACCAUUUACGGCAUAUCCAUUAAAGGGCGGAACCAUAUGUAAUGGCCCUUCUGCAAGAUCUUUCAUGAUUUGAUUGGUAAUGCCGGAAGAAGGAUUUUGUGCCUAUUGACAUUAUAAAUAAUUAGACAUCAAUUAAGAUUGCAUUUUGUGAAUAAUAGUGAAUAAUUAAGAAUAAUUUAAACCUUUUAAUAAUUACUUAUUUUUCAAACCAAGAUGCAAACUCUGUUUCAAGUUUAGUGCCAAUCUCUCCAUCUUGAAUACAUGGUUGUAUUUGUCUCAAGAUGUCUACAUAAAUUCUGAAGAAAAAAAAGGUAAUUUAAUUUUAAUAUCAAAUUUUUUAUUGAUAUUUACACAUGAUUCAUAAUUAACUUACUUGAUAUAUGGUUUUACUUCAUCACAAUUCAACAAAAUAUAUGUACGAGCUACGUGAUAUUCUUUAUCAUCUAACCUCCUCUUUUUCAGCUUACCAAAACCUCGACCAGCUUGGUUAAAAAUAGAAAGCAUCUCAGGAUCAUCCUGUUCAACUCCACCAUCAUCUAAAUGUCGUGGAACUUUUCUGUGUCGUGUCGGAAUGUGUGACUUAAUGUAGUGCGCACAAAAUAAAGAUUCUUGUUCAACUAAAUAUGCGUUGCAUAUAGAAGCUUCAACUUUAUUCUUAUUUUUGACAUCAUUCUUGUAUCUACGAAUAUUUCUACAAACAUUAAAGUAUGUCAAUAUGGUAUAAUUGAUAUAUUUAUUUGCAUAUGUUAUAACAUAUAAUAAAUUAUAUUUACCUCUCAGUCGGAUACAUCCAUCGUCCUUGAACCGGGCCCGCUAAAUGUGCUUCAUAAGCUAAAUGGAUAGGAAGAUGUUUCAUGGAAUCCUAGAAGCUUGGAGAAAAAGUAUGCUCAAGCUUAGUCAAGAUGAGAGGAAUAUUUUCUUCUAAUUGUCUCAUGUGUUCUUCUGUAAUUGCUGUAGAGGUGAGAUCUUUAAAGAAAAGACUCAACUCCGUCAAUGGUUGUCACACAUUUCGUGGAAGCAAUUCUCAAAAUGCAAUAGGUAUUAACUGUUUCAAAACACAUGACAAUCAUGACUCUUCAUACCAAAAAGUUUAAGCUUGUUCAUCUCAACACAUCUUCCCAGAUUAGACACAUAACCAUCAGGAAAUCUCAACUCUUGCAACCAUUUAUAGAGAAAUUCUUUAGCCUUAUCAUCUAGCAUAUAACAAGCAUUUGAAUACUUUUUGGUACUUUUAUUCUGGUGUAACGCAAAGUAGUUUUAAAUCUUCUCUAGAUUUUGCAUUGUCCUUUAUUUUUUCCUUGACAUUCAUCAUAGUGUUGAAGAUAUUAUCAAAAAAAAAUUCAAUAUGCAUCAGAUCAAGGUUAUGCCUAACAUGAUUUGUUGGCCAGUAAGACAAGUCCCAAAAAAUACUUCUUUUCUUCCAACCACAUGCAUUAUUCUUUAAAAUUUUGGCAUUUAUCACAUCAGAACCAAGUUCUAUCACUUUCAUGAGUCCCAAGUCCUCAAUCUCCUUAAGUAUUUGUACACCCGAUUGUUCCGUAAAUGCAAUCUUCUGUAUUGCUUGACCUCUCUUGAACCACUUUUUAUUUUUUCGCCACGGAUGAUUCGGUGGUAAGAACUUUCUGUGAUUAUCAAACCAUGAGAUCUUUCUACCCCAUUGGGUAGUGAAAAAACAUCAGAAUCUUUCAUGCAAUAAGGACAAGCUAAUUUUCCCGUUGUACUCCAACUCGAUAACAUUAAAUACGCACAAAAAUCACUUAUUGUCCAAAUCAAUGCAACUUUCAUUUGAAAAUUAUUCUUACUUGAAACAUCAUAUGUUUGAAUUCUCUCCUCAUAUAAUUCAUUUAACUCUUGAAUGAGAGGCUACAAAAAGACAUCAAUUUUUUGUUUUAGAUUUUUGGGGCCAGGUAUAAUCACAGAAAAAAACAUGUAUUCAUCUUUCAUGCACAUCCAAGGUGGCAAAUUAUAUGGUGUAACUAUCAUAAACCAAGAAGAAUAUUAUUGGCCAAAUUGACCAAAAGGUUGAAAACCAUCAGUUGACAAACCCAAUCUAACAUUUCUCACUUCAGAUGCAAAAGAAGGGUGUGCCUGAUCAAACUGUUUCCAAGCAGGAGAGUCAGAGGGAUGACGCAUCACACUAUCCCUUUUAUGCUCAGAAUGUCAUCUCAUAUGUUUUGUUGUAGCAUCGGAUGCAUACAAUCUUUGUAAAUGCGGAGCUAAAGGAAAAUAAUACAUCUUCUUAUAAGAAAUAUUAAUUUUCUUCUUGGAGCGUUGAUGCUUUGAUCUCUUAAAUCGAGGGUGAGAACAAAACUUGCAAUUGACAAGUUCACUAUCCUCCCGCCAAUAAAGCAUACAACUAUUUUUCCAAUAAUUAAUCUUUUCAACCGGCAAGCCCAAUCCUCUCAUUAGCUUUUUGGUACUAUAAAAGCUAUCUAUCAUUAUGUUAUUAGUUGACAUCAAUUCUAAUAUAAAUUCACAUAACUCAUCAUACAAUCUUUCAGAAAAAUAAUGUUCCGCCUUUAGAUUCAACAAACGAGCAACGAUAGACAAUUGUGUUUGUCCAUGUGGAUUUUUCGACCAAAUUUCUUGUUCCGAUGCUUUGAGCAAAUUAUAAAUAUUUUGUGUUGUGGGAUUUGGAUCCUCUUCUAUGUUACCAUCAAAAGAAGGCCCAGCAACAUCAAAAACUAUAGCUCGAAAUUCAUUAUCAGACUAGAAUUCACGGUUUCACCUGAAGCUUCUUCUUGAUGAUUACCAAACACACUUGGACCUGGAAUAUAACUUUAUCCAUGAUGAUGCCAACGAUAAUAAUUCGGUACAAAGCCAUUAUUUCCAAGAUGUGUCAUAACUGUAAACUCAUCCGAAAUAUUUUUAUUUUGACACUUACGAUGAUUAUAAGGACAUCUUAAUUUUUCACCGUCCAUACAUUCUGGAUGAAUUUUUGCAAAUCCAACAAAGCUCUCAACCCCAUCAAUAAACCUAGGAUUUAUGAAUCCAUCUUCCAACAAUCUACCAUACAUCCACUCACGAUCAGAAUUAUUCAUAUCGUGCACUCUGAAAUCGAAUAAAUAUGUUAACACUUACAUGUUGAUAAGUAAUUUUCAUAUAACAGUACAACAUAGAUAUAAAUUUGAGCCUACAAAUAAUGCUACCAUAGAAAUGCUGAAAUUUUAGAAAGUGCUCCAACUUCUAUUCUUUUUGGAUGUCAAAGGGACUUCAGGCUCUCUAGUGCAACUAGGUCCAUACUUCCAGAUAUUAUGCAAUUGAUAAACAAAAUCUUCACAAUGACUCAAACUCAAUCUAAAAUCAUACUCAAAUGAAUAUGGAUGUCCUUAUGACAUAACAAACAAUUUAGUAUUCCAGAAAAUCAGAAACAGAACUACCAAAAAACAUCAUACUAAAUCUGCAACGGAAAGAACCGACUCUCAAUCAGAGAAACAUCAACUUCUGUUGCACCAAAUUCAUUCACAUUUUGUUUCCCUUUGAUGUAACAUAAAUGGGAAAGUCAAACUACAGGUUGCUUCCUAGGAAUUUUACAAGGUUCAGUGAAGCAUUAUCAUGAUUAUCAAUAGAAACAGAACUUUAUGGAAACUACCAGACACCAAAAAAUUUACAUUCCGACAAAAUCCCAAAAACCAAUAAGAUUGUAAAUUAAUAAACAAGAAAUUUUUAAUUGGAUCUCUUACACGAUAUACUCAAAAAUAAAGCCAAAAAAAGAAGUACCAUCAAAAUAAAGUAAUUUUACCUCAAGAAUAUAAGGAUAACAAUAGAAUUUGAACAUCCACUUCAUCAAAAUGGAGAAUGACGAUGAACAUCCACUUUGUCAAAAUUGUAAGUUAAUCUGGUGCUUGUUUAACUCCUAUUCUUUGCAACUAGAGAAGAUUAGAAGACUGCCAUGCUUACUCUACUAAUGUGCAUCAAAAUGCUAACAUAAAAAUUGAAAAAUCCACAACCAGAUAAGAAAUGGAACAAACAGUUCAAAAAUAGCCAUUUUAAGACAUAUCCAACUAUAGUUAUGCAAAGGGUUAAUCAACAUCCAGUUAAUAAAAUCUUUCAAUUUCUCAUCCGUAACAAAAUCACUAGUAAUCCACUCACUAUAAAAGCGCUUGAUAUGAAAAUCCAAGUAAGACAUUAUUUUUCAUAUAUAGUACCAUCUUUUAGACAAUCUGCUUAGCUUAUAAACUUCAAAAAUGUAGAGGUGUGAAAGGAGAUUGUGGAGUAUUUCAUCUGGUAAAUAGCUCUCCUAAACAAGAAGAAGAAUAGAACGUACCUUCCAGAAUCGAGAGGAAUCGAAAAGAAUAGAAUGUACGGUUAUUGCUCUUCAAUACCUUUUUGCCUGAAAAGGGUUUUCUAUUUUAUGAGGGAGCUGAAAAGAUGUGAAAAAUAUUGAAGGAAAACAAAAA